rnacentral:lncRNA from 1 species
AAAAUCUUUCUCAAAACUUUUUGGCAAAAAGAGAGAGAACGAUAGCGUGAGUGAGGAAGUGGAUGAGAAGGAGACGAAGGGGAAGAAAAAGGUUUUAUUGAUCAUCAACAUCAUUAAAGUGUGCGUGGAGCACAAGAGUGUGAGGGUAGCUAUUUGAAAGAGGAUUCCGUUAUACUUUUGGUUUUGCUAUUUCGUCUGAAUUUUUAUUGGUGCUUCUUUUGUUUUUUCGUUUGAAUUAUUGGUACCCUUUUCUUGCUUUCAGAUAAGGGAGGGUUUACUUCUCUUUUGUUUGUUUGUUUUGUUUCCGGCAGAUCUCUAUCCUCGAUCUUUCCUCACUGUGAAUAAGAGUUGUUAUUUUUCUGAUUUUUUUUAGAUCCGGUAAUGAAUAUAAGAAAGCUUUGUGGAUCUCGUCUGAAGGUGUUUUGAUCUAUUGAGCCUUAUGUCAACAAUGUAGGACUACACCAUGUUUACUGAUACUAUUCCCGUCGGCCAUUAGACAAUGACUACACACUACCGCGUCUCUCCCGUCGGCCAUUAGACAAUGGCUACACUCUACCGCGUCUCUCCCUGUUGGUGUAGAUCGACGCGUGAAUACUAUUCUUCUAGCUGAUUGUAUUUGCAUGUAGUUGUUUAUUGCUUUUCUUCUGUGUUGGUCAUCUUUUCUGUGGAUUCCAUUGUUAGCUUGUGUUGUCUUCAGUUUAUUGAUAGAAAAGAUGUGAUCGUUUGCUGGCAGCGGGUGGUUGAGCGUUGAUCAAGUGAUUUCAAUGGUAUAUAUUUGCAUUCAAAAUUCUAGGUUUUUUGUUUGGUUUUAUAUAGUUUAAUUUGAUUUAAUUUAACUAAUUUUCACUUUAAUUUUGUUUUCUAUAUUUAGUUUGAUUUAAUUUGAUUGGACUUUUUUC